rnacentral:rRNA from 1 species
AGCGAACACUGGCGGCAGGCCUAACACAUGCAAGUCGAACGAACCCUUCGGGGUUAGUGGCGGACGGGUGAGUAACACGUGGGAACGUGCCUUUAGGUUCGGAAUAACUCAGGGAAACUUGUGCUAAUACCGUAUGUGCCCUUCGGGGGAAAGAUUUAUCGCCAUUGGAGCAGCCCGCGUUGGAUUAGGUAGUUGGUGAGGUAAAGGCUCACCAGGCCUACGAUCCAUAGCUGGUCUGAGAGGAUGACCAGCCACACUGGGACUGAGACACGGCCCAGACUCCUACGGGAGGCAGCAGUAGGGAAUCUUGCGCAGUGGGCGAAAGCCUGACGCAGCCAUGCCGCGUGUAUGAUGAAGGUCUUAGGAUUGUAAAAUACUUUCACCGGGGAAGAUAAUGACGGUACCCGGAGAAGAAGCCCCGGCUAACUUCGUGCCAGCAGCCGCCGUAAGAC